UACGUAGGGUGCAAGCGUUGUCCGGAAUUAUUGGGCGUAAAGAGCUUGUAGGCGGUUUGUCGCGUCUGCUGUGAAAUUUCGGGGCUCAACCCCGAACUUGCAGUGGGUACGGGCAGACUAGAGUGUGGUAGGGGAGACUGGAAUUCCUGGUGUAGCGGUGAAAUGCGCAGAUAUCAGGAGGAACACCGGUGGCGAAGGCGGGUCUCUGGGCAACAACUGACGCUGAGGAGCGAAAGCGUGGGGAGCGAACAGG
rnacentral:rRNA from 1 species